UCGCGGCCUAUCAGCUUGUUGGUGGGGUAGUGGCCUACCAAGGCGACGACGGCUAGCCGGCCUGAGAGGGUGACCGGCCACACUGGGACUGAGACACGGCCCAGACUCCUACGGGAGGCAGCAGUGGGGAAUAUUGCACAAUGGGCGAAAGCCUGAUGCAGCGACGCCGCGUGAGGGAUGACGGCCUUCGGGUUGUAAACCUCUUUCAGCACGGAAGAAGCGAAAGUGACGGUACGUGCAGAAGAAGCGCCGGCUAACUACGUGCCAGCAGCUGCGGUAAUACGUAGGGCGCAAGCGUUGUCCGGAAUUAUUGGGCGUAAAGAGCUCGUAGGCGGUUUGUCGCGUCUGCUGUGAAAGCCCGGGGCUUAACCCCGUGGUGUGCAGUGGGUACGGGCAGACUAGAGUGCAGUAGGGGAGACUGGAAUUCCUGGUGUAGCGGUGAAAUGCGCAGAUAUCAGGAGGAACACCGAUGGCGAAGGCAGGUCUCUGGGCUGUUACUGACGCUGAGGAGCGAAAGCAUGGGGAGCGAACAGGAUUAGAUACCCUGGUAGUCCAUGCCGUAAACGUUGGGCACUAGGUGUGGGGGACAUUCCACGUUUUCCGCGCCGUAGCUAACGCAUUAAGCGCCCCGCCUGGGGAGUACGGA
rnacentral:rRNA from 1 species